rnacentral:rRNA from 1 species
GAUGAACGCUGGCGGCGUGCCUAAUACAUGCAAGUCGAGCGAACGGACGAGAAGCUUGCUUCUCUGAUGUUAGCGGCGGACGGGUGAGUAACACGUGGAUAACCUACCUAUAAGACUGGGAUAACUUCGGGAAACCGGAGCUAAUACCGGAUAAUAUUUUGAACCGCAUGGUUCAAAAGUGAAAGACGGUCUUGCUGUCACUUAUAGAUGGAUCCGCGCUGCAUUAGCUAGUUGGUAAGGUAACGACUUACCAAGGCAACGAUGCAUAGCCGACCUGAGAGGGUGAUCGGCCACACUGGAACUGAGACACGGUCCAGACUCCUACGGGAGGCAGCAGUAGGGAAUCUUCCGCAAUGGGCGAAAGCCUGACGGAGCAACGCCGCGUGAGUGAUGAAGGUCUUCGGAUCGUAAAACUCUGUUAUUAGGGAAGAACAUAUGUGUAAGUAACUGUGCACAUCUUGACGGUACCUAAUCAGAAAGCCACGGCUAACUACGUG